rnacentral:sRNA from 1 species
GCCGGGAGGUUCGCCGUUGCGAUGGG